ensembl:lncRNA
CACAUACAAAGCAUAUCUACUUUUAUUUGAAUGAAUGAGGCAAAAUAUGUACCACAUGAGAAUAGCAUUCUAUUGACAUUACAUAAAUAAAUAUUAAAUAAGUUACAUUUUGCAUAAUUCCCCAUGUACAAGUACUGAAAAUUGUUAUAGAUUAAAUAAAUUACAACAAAAAUAAAUAACAUCUUAAACUAUUAAUUGGUAGAUUGGAUACAAUUCCUUAGUCUUACUCCAACCUUUUAGCACCCAAAUCCUAGAUAAUUUAAAUAUGCCUUUGUUUAGAAUCAAAGGAGUCAUUACAGCACUUGAGUCCUAAGCAUAAGAAUUGUAUUUGGGCUAUAUAGGCAGGUUAUCAACAAUUCAAUUGGAUAGGUUAUGGUUAUCAUAAGAUAUGGAAGAAUGGUCUCCUCAGAUCUUGAUGGGUUGGGUUAGCUCAUUAUACUCUUAAAUUUGUGAUUUAUCUAAGAAUUUAAGGUUUGGGGGAAUUUGGGGUUGUUCUUUUUAGUAGCAUGGGCCUUAAGAAAUGAACUCAAAUCCCAUGUUGUAACCAGGACAUGGAUAUCAAUAGAAUGCAAGUUCCUCUGAGGUCAGGGAUUGUUCUGUUUUUGUCCAUAUCCCAGGCACCCAGGUCUUCUAGUGUUCUGAACUUUCUAAUUCAGAGCACUCGGUAGCAAAUUGUGCAACCUGAGAUUAUUUAGUAAAUAUCGGGGGGGGGGGGGGGAUAGCUAGAUGACGCAAUGGAUAGAGCAAUAGCCCUGAAGUCAGGAGAACCUGAAUUCAAAUCUGACCUCAGAAACUUAAUACUUCCUAGUUGUGUGACCUUAGGCAAAUCAUUUAACCCCAAUUGCCUCAGGAAAAAAAAAAAAGUGAUGGUGACCAUAAGAUUUCCAAAGAGUAAAGGAAAAUGUAAUUACAAAACCAUAAUCAUUUACCUCAUGUGCACAAACCAUGUCCCAACUUCCAUGAGACUGAUUCUUUCAAAAGUUCUGGAAGGGAACUUAAAGAAUCUUAGAUUCAGCCCCCUCAUUUUACAGAUGAGGAAACUGAGGCCCACAGAUGUUAAGUAGUUUUUUCAUGGUCACUUAGGUAAUUUAAAUGGUUGGAUUGGAAUCCAACCUCAAAUCCUCUGAUUCCAAAUUCAGUACUCUUUUCACUGGCCAUAUUUAAAGUUUUGUUCCUUUCUUCCCCAUUCAGUUGUGAAAACUUCCCACAAAGAAACUGCUAAAGAAAAAAGGAAGGAACAUUUCCUCGAAAUAAGUUAAUGUUCCUCAAUUUUAUAUCUCUAAUUUUCCUACCACUAAAUUUCACAAUGUUUAAUUAGUUUAUUUGUACCAAAAUUUUCUGAGACGUGGGUCAGAGUUGGUAGCCUAUUAUAUAGGUGAAGAAACUGUGAAGUUUGAGUCAUUUAGUUCUUGGAGUGCAGGACUAACUAGGAAAUGCUGUUUUCUAUGCAAGUACAGCAUGAUUCUCCAAAGGUCUUUCCAGUUAUAAAUCUAUGAUCCCAGAAGGAUUUCAUAUAUUAGGGAGGACAUGAAAUUGUAAUGACAAUCUUACCAGAACAAGCUGCCCAAGUAGUUUUCUCUUUCCCCUUGGGAAUCUUACUUUAAGGACAUUAGAUUGGGAUUUUUAUUUUUUAAUAUAUGUGAUGUGGGAAUUGUCAAUACAUGUGUCCAUUCUACAUAGUAAGACAUCUAACUAAUGAUCCAAAUGAGACUUUGGGACUUCAGGUGUAAAACAAAUCAGAAGCAGUAGAGAAAGUGGUGUAAAACAAAGAAAAUAUUAAUAAUCAUACUCUAAACCUGAUCAAAUAAGGAAUUAUAAGAAAAGC